CAGAGAAAAGAGAAGAGUUGAACCCUUUGGUAGACAGUGUGCUGCUUGAGGGUUCUAACAGCACCACAUACAUCCAGAACGCCUUCCAGCUCCUCCUCCCGGUUCUCCAGAUGUCACACAUCCAGACCCAGAGCUCUAGAACCCGCACGGAACCACAGCCCUAACCCUGUCGUAGCCACAGUAAACACACCUCAUACUGCUGAAGUGCUGUUAGCAUACUAUAUCCUAAUGAUGUAACUAUGUACAGGAAGAUAAUGUGAUAUAUAAAUAUAUAUAUAUAUAAAUAUAUAAAUAACAGUGAUACUGAAGUCAACUACUAGGUUGCCAUAGUAACAGACUUUAAACUAUUACGUAAUGCAGUAACUUAGUAUAGUUUCAUGUAGGGAACUAUAUAUAUAUAUAAAUAUAUAAAUAACAGUGAUACUGAAGUCAACUACUAGGUUGCCAUAGUAACAGACUUUAAACUAUUACGUAAUGCAGUAACUUAGUAUAGUUUCAUGUAGGGAACAACUUCUCAGAUUGAAGAGCUUGUACUAUUAAGCAUCUCCAAAUUGACUCUUUUAUUAUAUAUAUAUAUAUAUAUAUUACUGUUCAGAGGUAAAUCUAAACAUGAUUCAUGUCAACUGGCUACUUUAACCCGGUGUAUCAGAUUAUGUCUUAUCGUUUUAUAAAGCGAAACCAAAAAAAAUAGUUUUGUUGUCCGGGUUUGUUUUUAGUGUCACGUAAACCAGAUCAGUGUACUGUGUUGUUUAACAGUGGCGUCCCUGAAGCAAAUUAGGGUUCAGUGCUUUUCUCAAAAUGGCACAUCGACAAUAAUAAAAAAAAAAUUUGUUGCUUUGUCAGCUCAGGUGUUCGAACCAGAGACCUUUGGGUUCCUGGGCCCAACGCGCUAACCAACGCGCUAACCGCUAACCUUGACAUUAACGGACAAAGACAAAAAAAGGACCAGAACUAUAAUGUUCUAUAUUUCUAUGUGUGUAUUUGUUUUUAGGUCCACUGGUUUAUUCAGUCGUUGUUCAUCAUUUAUUAAUCUGCUGCUAUGGUAACGGAGAUGGAAUCUGACAACGGAACCUUUAUCUGCUGCUAUGGUAACGGAGAUGGAAUCUGACACUGGUUUAUUAAGUCAUUGUUGGAUCAUUUAUUAAUCUGCUGCCAAGGUAACGGAGAUGGAAUCUGACAACGGAACCUUUAAUCACAAAAUACCAACAACGAAAAAUAAAAACACCUUUUUUAAACCUUUUAA